GUGGGCUCCCCAUUCGACCCG
rnacentral:snRNA from 1 species